rnacentral:rRNA from 1 species
AGGAUGAACGCUGGCGGCGUGCCUAACACAUGCAAGUCGAACGUCCUGUCUCGCAAGAGGCAGGGAGUGGCGGACGGGUGAGUACCACGUGGGUUAUCUACCGUGAGGUGAGGAAUACCGGCGAGAAAUCGCCGACAAGACCGCAUAGCCUCGGUGCAAGCCGAGGAAAGCUUUCUCGAGAGAGGGAGCGCCACACGAGGAGCCUGCGCCCGAUUAGCUAGCUGGUGGAGUAACGGUUCACCAGGGCGACGAUCGGUAGCUGGUCUGAGAGGACGAUCAGCCACACUGGGAUUGAGAACGGCCCAGACUCCUACGGGGGGCAGCAGUGAGGAAUUUUCGUCAAUGGGGCAACCCUGAACGAGCAACGCCGCGUGCAGGAAGAAGGUUUUCGGAUCGUAAACUGCUUUUCGUCGGGGAAGAGGAACGGACGGUACCCGAGGAAUCGAGCCCCGGCUAACUACGUGCCAGCAGCCGCGGUAA